AGGAAAUGCAGAUGGCAAUAAACUGUGUAGGAGUUUAUGAUUGCAAUAGAAUAAAAUCGACCAAGCCUGAAGUCAGCAGCCCCUUCAAUGAAUGCAGCAGUGUGACAGCCAGCAAUCAAAAGUUACAAGAUAUCGAGGAAAUGCAGAUGGCAAUAAACUGUGUAGGAGUUUAUGAUUGCAAUAGAAUAAAAUCGACCAAGCCUGAAGUCAGCAGCCCCUUCAAUGAAUGCAGCAGUGUGACAGCCAACAAUCAAAAGUUACAAGAUAUCGAGGAAAUGCAGAAGGCAAAAAACUGCGUAGGAGAUCAUUAAUACAAAAGUAUUAUAUAAACCAAACCUGAUGUUGCCAGCUCCUUCAAUGAAUGCAGCAGUGUGACAGCCAGCAAUCAAAAGUAACAAGAUAUCGAGGAAAUGCAGAAGGCAAAAAACUGCGUAGGAGAUCAUUAAUACAAUAGUAUUAUAUAUAAACCAAGCCUGAUGUUGGCCGCUCAUUCAAAGAAUGCAGCAGUGUGACAGCCAGCAAUCAAAAGUAACAAGAUGUCGAGGAAAUGCAGAGUGCAAUAAACUGUGUAGGAGAUUAUGAUUGCAAUAGAAUAAAAUCGACCAAGCCUGAAGUUCUUCAAUGCACGCAGCAGUGUGACAUCCAGCAAUCAAAAGUUACAAGAUAUCGAGGAAAUGCAGAAGGCAAAAAACUGCGUAGGAGAUUAUUAAUACAAUAGUAUUAUAUCAACCAAGCCUGAUGUCGGUAGCUUCUUCAAUGAAUGCAGCAGUGUGACAGCCAGCAAUCAAUAGUGAUAGUGACAAGAAUCUAGGAAAUACAGAAGGCAAAGAAGCAGAUGUCAUCAAAGAAGAUCUUUGUUCCUGCAAUGUUUCCGCAGACGAUACAUCCAACAGAGCGAAGUCGAAGGAAAAGACUCGGAAAAAAGAGCCCACCACCAUAUGGGAACAAUGCAAGGGAGAGAGAGAAUAUAAUUUUAUAUUUUUAU